UACGUAGGGGGCAAGCGUUGUCCGGAAUCAUUGGGCGUAAAGCGCGCGUAGGCGGCUCGAUCAGUCUGCUGUAAAAGUCAAAGGCUCAACCUUUGAAUGCCGGUGGAUACUGUCGGGCUAGAGUCCGGAAGAGGCGAGUGGAAUUCCUGGUGUAGCGGUGGAAUGCGCAGAUAUCUGGAGGAACACCGGUGGCGAAGGCGGCAUCCUGGACCGAAACUGACGCUGAUGCGCGAAAGCCAGGGGAGCAAACGG
rnacentral:rRNA from 1 species